UACGAAGGGGGCUAGCGUUGCUCGGAAUCACUGGGCGUAAAGGGUGCGUAGGCGGGUCUUUAAGUCAGGGGUGAAAUCCUGGAGCUCAACUCCAGAACUGCCUUUGAUACUGAAGAUCUUGAGUUCGGGAGAGGUGAGUGGAACUGCGAGUGUAGAGGUGAAAUUCGUAGAUAUUCGCAAGAACACCAGUGGCGAAGGCGGCUCACUGGACCGGUAUUGACGCUGAGGUGCGAAAGCGUGGGGAGCAAACAGG
rnacentral:rRNA from 1 species